ensembl:lncRNA
GAUAGAUAGAAUGAUAGAUGGAUAAAAUGAUGACAGUUUGAAUGACAGACAGACAGACAGACAGACAGACAGACAGAUAGAUAGAUAGAUAGAUAGAUAGAUAGAUAGAUAGAUAGAUAGAUAGAUAGAUAGAUAGAUAGAUGGAUAGAUGCAUCUGUUAAGUAUUUAGGGGGGUUGAAGGGGCCCAAAAUUUAGGAAGAUUUUCCCAUGGAAUUCUACGGCUCACAGUAGUCCUCUGCCAUUUCAGUUCAGCUGCUGAAUAGAACUAAAGAGUUUUGUCCUGUCAUUGCUGUCAUUUCUGCAAUGCAUUAUUCAUGUGUUUGCAUUGCACAUAUGCAUACAUAACAUGCAAUGAGGGUGGUUUUCACCAUCCGAGCUUCCAACAGGGGAUUUCGACCUCCUCUCCUCUACAUUAAAGCUGCCUGGUUUAUAUUCCACAUUCUGAGUGUUGCACAAGAUUACGGUAUUACUGACCUUGGCUGACUGCAUUCAUUUUCACAGAAGAGUCUUGAAGAUGAGGAAGAAUGAAUCUCUGUGGUUCUGGAGAGUGGAAAUACUCUGGGGUGUUGCUCUGUGCUGUUUCUCAGGGCAUCUCACCCGCCCAAUGAGAGGAGGCUUCGUCUUCACAAGGUCCCUCUCCCCCCUCCUCGCUUUCUCAUUGUACAAAGACGUACAGGUAGAGAAUGCGUAGCGAAAGGAUUGGAGCGUGCCGUGCACCUGCCCCCUGAAGCCAGCCAAACACUGACAGACACUUCAGUCCUUCUCUACAGGAGUAGAGUGGCCACAAAAUCUCUAAGAUCUGUUUGUCUCAUCUUUGCUAUCGAAUCUUGUUGUCUUUUGCUGCAUUAUCAAACUUCCUCUCGUUUACCAGAGGAAAGGUUUACUGCUAUUUCACAGCUCAGGAGAGAACAGAAUUCUCAUUUCUUUUUGGAACUCUGCUAAGAUGUUUCUCAUAAAAAAAAAAAAAAAUCCCUAAGAGAGAGAGCGAGAGAAAAAAGGACACAAACAAUUACUGACAUAUAAUAUAUAGGAUAUAUAUAAGUAUACAUAGUAUAUAUGGAUUGAAUUCAUGCGGAGAACCAAAUCUGAGCACAGCUUGAGACUGUUAGUGGAGAUGUUUUCUCAGGAGGAAUAUCUGACAAGCAGGAGACCUAAAAAAAAAUGUAUUCAAUCACCGGCUUUCUGGGAGAAACAUAUAUAAAUGAAAAAUAUACAAGAAUAUGAAAAAAAAAAAAACAAUAAAUACAUAACAUAUAUAAUAACGUUUUAUUUA